UCUUGCCAAAGCAGCAGAUCCAGAUAUUUUUGGUGUUAUGGCCAUGGCUUUCCACACUACAGGUUUGUCUUGAACAUUUUUAAAAACGGAAGGAUUGCUCCAUACUGAUUCAAAGCUGAAAGAAAAAGAUCGAAGAACAGUUUUCCUCCGGUACCCGUGAUGAUUGUAUGCCGUUCUUGGAUGAUAGUGGUGGAGGUGGUGACUUAAUUAGUGCGAGUGGAUGCGCGAGUGGAAGGAAGAAGUGGGACCUCUUACGGGUGUUUUCUUAUCGAACAUUAAAAUUUUAUUGUCUAAGUGUCCCCGGUCAUCUUUGCAUGUCCGAGGAUUAGAUGG